GAUGAACGCUGGCGGCGUGCCUAAUACAUGCAAGUCGAGCGAACAGACCAGGAGCUUGCUCCUCUGACGUUAGCGGCGGACGGGUGAGUAACACGUGGUUAACCUACCUAUAAGACUGGGAUAACUUCGGGAAACCGGAGCUAAUACCGGAUAAUAUAUUGAACCGCAUGGUUCAAUAGUGAAAGACGGUUUUGCUGUCACUUAUAGAUGGAUCCGCGCCGCAUUAGCUAGUUGGUAAGGUAACGGCUUACCAAGGCGACGAUGCGUAGCCGACCUGAGAGGGUGAUUGGCCACACUGGAACUGAGACACGGUCCAGACUCCUACGGGAGGCAGCAGUAGGGAAUCUUCCGCAAUGGGCGAAAGCCUGACGGAGCAACGCCGCGUGAGUGAUGAAGGUCUUCGGAUCGUAAAACUCUGUUAUUAGGGAAGAACAAAUGUGUAAGUAACUAUGCACGUCUUGACGGUACCUAAUCAGAAAGCCACGGCUAACUACGUG
rnacentral:rRNA from 1 species